GACAUAUUGUAUGUGUGAAAGCAUUUUUGAAACCAGGUGGAGGUAUUGCUGUUCAUUCGACAUCUUGUCUCUUCUAUGUCCUGCUGUGCGUUUUCCAGCACUAUCAACGUUUUGUCAAUUUUUCAAGGCUAAUGCCUAGCCUAUCCCUAGCCCACAAUAUGUCAUAGGCAUAGUCUGCACAUGGCUCCAUCUAUUAGACAGAGAUAGAAAAUAUCAAGAAGAGUGUAGAUACACAACUUUAUUUCUGUUUCUGUAUGAUUAUUACAAGAUCAUUUGGGUUAAGAAUUUCAUGGUGUUCAAUCAUGGAAACGGGUCAGCUAGGGUCUACAGUACAGGUAAAUAUAGUAGGCCUAGUCAUUAAAGCUAUUGUUAUGUUGUUGCCCCCGUUCUUGCAGAAGUUCUGCAGAGUCUUGUGGAAGGAGAGCAUAGCAAGUGCUACAGCAGAGUUUGAAAUAAGGCAGGUGCAACCAUCAGUCCCAACUGCAGCAAAAACGGAAGUGUCAAGGUGCUUGCCCCCGAUGCCUACAGAGAAGAGAGAGAGAGAGAGAGAGAGAGAGAGAGAGAGAGAGAGAGAGAGAUAAAGAGAGAGAGAGAGAUAAAGAGAGAGAGAGAGAUAAAGAGAGAGAUAAAGAGAGAGAUAAAGAGAGAGAAGGAACUGAAUUUCCACACUCUUAUAAAAGGGACUAUCUAGAGCCAUAAAGGGUUCUUCUGCUGUCCCUGUAUGAGAACCCUUUUUGGCUCCAUGUAGAACCGAUGUAGAACCGAUGUAGAACCCAACUUACCCAACAAACCAUGGUAUAACCUUAUAAUAACCCUUUGGUGAUAAGACCCAACCUGGAACCAAACAGGGUUCUCUGGGACAGCCAAAGAACCCUUUAUGGGUCGUUCUUGAACUGCAGUGGCAUUCACAUCCACGAAAAAAACACUUCAAAAUGACAAAUAGUUACACAUUAUUCAAGUUUUCUGUUUAAAAGACUGUUUAUCAGUCAUAAAACAUACUGCAAGUGCUUUAUAAUGCAAAACGUUAUGUUUAUGCAUUGUUUAAAGUACAGUUAUAGUGACAUAUUUUGUGUCACGUCCUGACCAGCAGAUGGAGCUGGUGUAGUAGUUUGGGGGUCAGGACGUGGCAGUCUUGUGUGUGUCUUGUGACUCCUGAUCAGGAACAGCUGGGAAUCGUUGUUCCUGAUUGGGAGUCAUAUAUGUAGGAGUUGUUUGUCACUGGGGUUUGUGGGUGGUUGUUUUGCACUGCGUUUUUUUUUUUUUUUUAGCCUGCAAACUGUUACUGCUGUCACGUUUAUUGUUUCCUGUGGAUGCUUUACUCCUUUUGUUGGGUAAUUAAAAAAUGAGUAUUCACAUACCUGCUGCGCCUUGGUUCAUUUCAGAAGACAGUCGUUACAUAUUGGGGGAUUUAAAGCUAUCAAUAUAUGUAUUAUUUUUGAAUUCUAGAAAGAAAACAAAAGCAUUACAUACAGUUGAAGUCAGAAGUUUACAUACACUUAGGUUGGAGUCAUUAAAACCCGUUUUUCAACCACUCCACAAAUUUCUUGUUAACAAACUAUAGUUUUGGCAAGUUGGUUAGGACAUCUACUUUGUGAAUGACACAAGUCAUUUUUCCAACAAUUGUUCACAGACAGAUUAUUUCACUUAUAAUUCAGUGUAUCACAAUUCCAGUGGGUCAUAAGUUUACAUACACUAAGUAGACUGUGCCUUUAAAUAGCUUGGAAAAUUGCAGAAAAUGAUGUCAUGGCUUUAGAAGCUUCUGAUAGGCUAAUUGACAUCAUUUGAGUCAAUUGGAGGUGCACCUGUGGAUGUAUUUCAAGGCCUACCUUCAAACUCAGUGCCUCAUUGCUUGACAUCAUGGGAAAAUCAAAAGAAAUCAGCCAAGACCUCAGAAAACAAAUUGUAGACCACAAGUCUGGUUAAUCCUUGGGAUUAAUUUCCAAAUGCCUGAAGGUACCACGUUCAUCUGUACAAACAAUAGUACGCAAGUAUAAACACCAUGGGACCACGCAGCCGUCAUCAAGAAGGAGACGCGUUCUGUCUCCUAGAGAUGAACGUACUUUGGUGCGAAAAGUGCAAGUCAAUCCCAGAACAACAGCAAAGGUGCUGGAGGAAACAGGUACAAAAGUAUCUAUCUCCACAGUAAAACAAGUCCUAUAUUGACAUACCUGAAAGGCUGCUCAGCAAGGAAGAAGUCAUUGCUCCAAAACCGCAAUAAAAAAGACUACGGUUUGAAACUGCACAUGGGGACAUAGAUCGUACUUUUUGGAGAAAUGUCCUCUGGUCUGAUGAAACAAAAAUAGAAUUGUUUGGCCAUAAUGACCAUCGUUAUGUUUGGAGGAAAAAGGGGGAGGCUUGCAAGCCGAAGAACACCAUCCCAACCGUGAAGCACGGUGGUGGCAGCAUCAUGUUGUGGGGGUGCUUUGCUGCAGAAGGGACUGGUGCACUUCACAAAAUAGAUGGCAUCAUGAGGGAGGGAAAAUUAUGUGGAUAUAUUGAAGCAACAUCUCAAGACAUCAGUCAGGAAGUUAAAGCUUGGUCGCAAAUAGUUCUUCCAAAUGAACAACGACCCCAAGCAUACUUCCUAACUUGUGGCAAAAUGGCUUAAGGACAACAAAGUCAAGGUAUUGGAGUGGCCAUCACAAAGUCCUGACCUCAAUCCCAUAGAAAAAUUGUGAGCAGAACUGAAAAAGCAUGUGCGAGCAAUGAGGCCUACAAACCUGACUCAGUUACACCAGCUCUGUCAGGAGGAAUGGGCCAAAAUUAACCCAACUUAUUGUGGGAAGCUUGUGGAAGGCUACCUGAAAUGUUUGACCCAGGUUAAACAAUUUAAAGGCAAUGCUACCAAAUACUAAUUGAGUGUAUGUAAACUUCUGACCCACUGGGAAUGUGAUGAAAGAAAUAAAAGCUGAAAUAAAUCAUUCUCUCUACUAUUAUUCUGACAUUUCACAUUCUUAAAAUAAAGUGGUGAUCCUAACCUAAGACAGGGAAUUUUUACUAGGAUUAAAUGUCAGGAAUUGUGAAAAACUGAGUUUAAAUGUAUUUGGCUGAGGUGUAUGUAAACUUCCCGCCUUCAACUGUAUAUUGUACUUAUCAAUAAAAACAAGACAGGCUAUUAAAAUUACUAUUAUUUUAACAAAUAUAAUACGUGUCCCUAAGUUUUAUCCCCAUUGGUGUAACCACCUUGAAAAUCACUCAUUACAAAGAUUUACAAGUACCUUGCAUUGACCUCCAGUGGAAAAGUUUUGCACUGGAGGGAUCUAUAUUAAAUACAAUUAUUAGCUAAUCACACCCUUUUAGCAACUCAUCAAUUUGAGGAUUCCAUUGAUCAUUUGGUGUGUCUAAAUAGUGUAAUUGGUGUUACAAAUGUUAAAUGAAGGGAAAUUACACUGUGAGCUAAAUUAUGAAUCAUAAACACUUUGGUCAAUUAUUUUUAAAGGUUUAAUGACCUUAGAUUCGAAUGUCCUCAAUUACCAAAAUGUUGUCAUUGGAGUUACCAUCACUGGUGUAACUACUUCUGCUGGUGGCACGAUGUUAUCAUAAUAGUAAAACAUUAUUAAAAGUCAUUAAGCUACCAUAUUAGUUCAUUUACAAUGGGAAGAUAUACCCAAUACAUUUUAUUAAAAAGAAUAGAGAAAAAUUAAGUUCAUUUUUUUCUCCAAAAUGCCACACCCAAAUACCGCCGCAAUUCAAGAACAACCCUUAUGGUAGGUAGGCCUAUAGACACUUUCUUAGUUUACAAUUCCCCUCUCCAUCUUCAAUUCACUGAUUAGCUCAAUCAAUUUGUAAAAAUAUGAGAAUACCUUGUUUGGGGCGUUCGUUGCAUUCACCU
rnacentral:lncRNA from 1 species